CAGUAGCCGCGGGAAUACGUAUGUCACGAGCGUUAUCCGGAUUUAUUGGGCGUAAAGCGCGUCUAGGUGGUUAUAUAAGUCUGAUGUGAAAAUGCAGGGCUCAACUCUGUAUUGCGUUGGAAACUGUAUAACUAGAGUACUGGAGAGGUAAGCGGAACUACAAGUGUAGAGGUGAAAUUCGUAGAUAUUUGUAGGAAUGCCGAUGGGGAAGCCAGCUUACUGGACAGAUACUGACGCUGAAGCGCGAAAGCGUGGGUAGCAAACAGGAUUAGAGACCCCCGUAGUCCCUGUCUCUUAUACA
rnacentral:rRNA from 1 species